rnacentral:lncRNA from 1 species
UUAUAACUGAGAAACUUAUUCUGACAGUGGAUGAGGAGUGUUCUUUCUGGAAAGAGUCGCUGUUCAGCUAAUGGAUUAUGUUUAUUCUGUUUGUAUCUAUCAGCUUUUAGAAUCUUAUGUUUUAAUUUUGGAAAAAUUUGAAUUUUUUUUUCCCUUUCCCAAGCUGACUUGGCGUCCAUGAUAAACCAGGUGUUGAUGUUGCUUUUGCUCCCUUCACCUGUACCUUCUCUCAUGGGUUUCAGUGUGCACAGUUACUGGAGUUUAUGUAAGCUCAUUGGUGUCCCUCCUAGCCGUUCCCCUUCAGGAACUUUCCACGCACUGGUGAGCCUGUAGAAGGACCACGUAUCAGUAUGAGCUUUAGCUGCCCUGGAACUUAUGAUGUAGACCAGGUUAGCAUCGAACUCACAGAGUCUACCUGUACCACCCUAACUAAAGUAUUUUUUUCCUUUGCUUUUCUUCUGAAAAAUUUUCAUGCAUGUUAGCCAAAUUUUUAAAAAUCAAAUUUACUGAUUUAAAUUAGGAAAAUUUCUUGUACAAUUAGUAUUGGUUUUGAUGGAGAUUUUGGCCAUUUGCUAUUUCUCCUCUCUGUAUCAUACUUUGAUUGAUGUGAGAGUAAAGAAAUGGAAGUGAAGAAAUAGUAAGAAAUGGUGGUGGCUUCCAAGUUCCCGAGUCCACCUGAUUAAGAUAUGAACUGGGUUUGGAUUUAUUAUGGUGAUCUUCAGAUGUCUCGGCCCUUGCUUGUACCCUGGCUUGGAGUUGCCUAAGACUUAACUGGUUAAUCCUGAUCUGCCCUGAGUUUUGAUCUUCCCUCAGAAGGUAUGCUUCCAAGCUCUGAUGGACCGACCUUGAAGACAGCGGUUGCUUGUUACUUGGAGCUUUCUCUAGUGGUCAUAAAGGGAGAUAAGGUUCCUCUUGCCUUGCCUAUCUUUUGUCCUUGAUUCCAGAGUACAGUGGUGCUUUUGAUGGUCUGGGUUCUUUCUCCCUUAGCAGUUAGUUCCAACCUGCAUAAUAGUAGUACUUUUAUAGGACUCAUUUCUUGCCACUCUUUCAGGUUAGAACUUUGUCAAUACCUACCCACCUGUAUUAGUGGUUCUCUAGAGUCAUAGAAUUUAUGGGUAGGCUCUAUAUAGUAAAGGAACUUGUUGAUGACAUACAGUCUCCCAACACUGGUCAGCAGCAGCUGUGAAUGGAAGUCCAAGGAUCUAGCUGUUGCUCAGUCCCACAAGGCAGCAAGCAAGAGAAGGGGAGAGUGUCUUCCUUCUUUCAGUGUCCUUAUGUAGGUCUCCAGCAGAAGGUGUAGCCCAGAUUAAAGGUGUGUGCCACCACACCUUUAAUCCCAGAUGACCUUGAACUCAGAGCUCUUCCCUGUUUUAAUUUUCUGGAAUUCAUAGCCACUAUGCCUCAAGAUCUCCGUACCAAGAUCCAGGUCAGAAACUUCUAUCUCCCAGCCUCCAGAUUAGAAUCACUGGUGAGCCUUCCAAUUCUGGAUUGUAGUUCAUUCCAGAUAUAGUCAAGUUGACAACCAGGAAUAUCCACUACACCACCUCACCAAACCCAGUGCCUUGAAGAUAGUUGUUCUGUUGGUACUCAGUGCUGGCUCAUCUCAUUCCUGGUUUUGAACAGCAAAGUGAUUUUUUAUAUAGUUGGGGUGGAGGGGGAGGGAGUCUGUCUAGAUGGCUCUCAGCUUGUCCAUCCUUAGCCUUCAGCAGGCUAUUAGAAAAUUUAGGUGGAAUGUCCUUAAUCCCUUGGAUAGUCUGUGCGUCUUUCCUUCUCAGGCUUUGUCGCAAUGAGGUGGGGCUACCCUGUCUCUGUUGGCAGUAUCUGGUAGUCUCACCACACAUUCCCAGCCAUUUGUUGUCUAACAUGCAACCAAGCAUUUAAACACAGGAGUCCAUGGAGGUCAUUUGACUUUGAAACCACAGCAGUCCUCUAAUUUUCAUAUCCAUAAGUAUUACAUCAAGAGUAUACUAUUUAGCGAAAGCCCAUUAAAAUUUUUGUGCAUAAACUUCAUUAUUUGAAAAAGCCACAAAGCAUAUUAUCCUUGUGGUGAACUGCUUCUCCCAAGGACGAAGUUUACAUUUGCUGAUCACCUGACUGUAUAUUGGAUACACAGCUUUGCUUUACUUUAGAGACAAGGUCUUGCUCUUCUGCCUAGGUGAUGCAAGUUACUCCCUGCCUUGGCCUCUAGUGCCCCAUCCUUAAUAAUGUGCUGCAGCAUUAGUCCUAACCAUAUUCACUUGAGAAACUUUUACCAGUGAGGAAUCUGAGAUUCUUUGCCUCAGAUUUGAUUUCUGGUUUAGGUUCCAGCAUACCAUGAUUGCUGUAUGUUCAGUGAGAUUGCUAUGUGACUAGGGAGUCUCACUGUCCCCCUGGGGAGAAGGCAAAGACAUAAACACUAAUGACACUUUUCCUCAAGACCAUAGAUUAGAGAUUUCAUACCGGGGAGAGGAAAAAAUUGGGAAUAAAAUGCAUUAACUACCUUGGACUGAAGAUGCUUUUCGCUUCAGUAUUGGUUUGUUUAUGGAAUUGGCCCCAUCUAAAAAUACAUUAGAGGAAUUAAAAGUGUUCAUUUGUUAAUCUGUGAUGUAAACAGCAGUUAUUACAAUCUAAGUUUAAAUUUUUCAUGAGGUUCAAAUUAUGCACUACUACCUAAUAAUUUAAUUGAUAAAAUUAUUUUGAAAAUUGUCCCAGGUUUAGAACCCAGGACAAAUGACAGUUUUUUAAAAAGCAUGUAACAGGAGCGGAGUAGUAAUUUGAGGUUUUAUCAAUCUGGGAUAAAGCAGAAAGAAAAGAGUGGACAGCUUAGUGCUGAAGUUCCUCAUACCCAGAGCUGCUCAUUGCCCUAAAACAUGACUAGAUUGAUUCAGUGCAACCUCCUUAAGGGAAAAAAAUAACCUGUGACAUUGGGUGUCUAAGCAGUAUUUUAUCUCCUAGAGGUCCCUUGGGUGACAAGGUGAGCCAUGGUUUCUGUUGUUGGGAGGGUAAUGUCAUAUGAUUUUAAAUAACAAAGCCAAGAUAUUGUUGGAUGUGGCUCUGUUCCGAUUGGCUUUCUGUGAGGUAUGCAUGCAGUGUGGUUGUGUUCUUCAGUUGAACCUGUGGAUGGCUUUGUAUUGGAGGAUUCUAAAAUUCUAGUAAGAAAAGCUUAACAAACCCUUGUUUAAAUCUGUAACUUCACACAUCCCAAGUAAGUUAACCUUUGAAGCAUACCUAAAUCUGGUAGGACAUGUCUUCGAGAACUGACAUUUGCUGACACAGCAUCUUUAUCUCCAUUCUAUAAUUGCAAAGAAGUUAGUAUAAAGGCCUCUUACUGGUGUAAGCUUAAGUAAAAAUGAUCUAAGAAGGAAGAACGGCACAACAGCUUGCUCCUUCAUUAGAAAUAUGUAGUAGUUUAAAUGAGAUUGCUCCCAGAGGCUCAUCUAUUUGAACGGUUGGUUCCCAGUUGGACUGGGGAGGAAUAGGAGGUGUGGCCUUGUUGGAGGAAGUGUGUCACUGGGAAUGGACUUUGAGGUUUCAAAAGCCUAGGCCAGGUCUAGUCUGGUUCUCUCUCUGUCACCUGUUUUUGGAUCACUAUGUAAGCUCCCAAUUAUUACUCUAGAACCAUGCGUGCUUGUCUGCCUGCUGCUGCCAUGUUCCUGUACUAACCAUGAUCGUGGACUAACUUUCUGAAACUAUAAGCAUGGCCUUAAUAAGUGCUUUCUUCUAUAAGCUGCCUUGAUCAUGGUCUCUUCACAGCUAUAGAAUAGUUACUAAGAUGAUAUCAUUUGAACCCUGAAAGAUUGUCUGCAAGUUUAAGUUUUUUGAGUUUGAAAAGAUAGCUAUAAGGGCUGAAGAUGGCUCAGUGGUUAAGAGCACUGACUGCUCUUCCAGAGGUCCUGAGUUCAACUCCCAGCAACCACAUGAUGGCUCACAACCAUCUGUAAUGGGAGCCGAUGCCCUCUUCUGGUGUGCCUGAAGACAGAGACAGUAUACUCACAUACAAUAAUUAAAUCCUUAAAAAAAUCUAUAAUAAACUUUCUACUUCACC